AGUCGAACGCAAGUAGCAAUACUUGAGUGGCGGACGGGUGAGUAACGCGUGAGAAUCUGCCUUUUGGUCGGGGACAACCAUUGGAAACGAUGGCUAAUACCCGAUGUGCCCUUGGGUGAAAGAUUUAUUGCCAGAAGAGGAGCUCGCGUCUGAUUAGCUAGUUGGUAGGGUAAAAGCCUACCAAGGCAUCGAUCAGUAGCUGGUCUGAGAGGAUGACCAGCCACACUGGGACUGAGACACGGCCCAGACUCCUACGGGAGGCAGCAGUGGGGAAUUUUCCGCAAUGGGCGAAAGCCUGACGGAGCAAGACCGCGUGAGGGAGGAAGGCUCUUGGGUCGUAAACCUCUUUUGUCAGGGAAGAACACAAUGACGGUACCUGACGAAUCAGCCUCGGCUAACUCCGUGCCAGCAGCCGCGGUAAUACGGAGGAGGCAAGCGUUAUCCGGAAUUAUUGGGCGUAAAGCGUCCGCAGGUGGCACCUCAAGUCUGCUGUCAAAGACCGGGGCUUAACCCCAGAAAGGCAGUGGAAACUGAAGUGCUAGAGUGCAGUAGGGGUAGAGGGAAUUCCCGGUGUAGCGGUGAAAUGCGUAGAGAUCGGGAAGAACAUCGGUGGCGAAAGCGCUCUGCUGGACUGCAACUGACACUCAGGGACGAAAGCUAGGGGAGCGAAUGGGAUUAGAUACCCCAGUAGUCCUAGCCGUAAACGAUGGAUACUAG
rnacentral:rRNA from 1 species